UAAUCACAAAAAACAUAAAUAAAUAAUAAUCUUCCAUCUGUAUAAUAUUUGAUCGCACUCCACUUCUCCAAAAUCAAAAUAUCAAAUCAUUAUGCCGGUUGGUUCUCAAACCCAUUGAAUACAAUGAUCCUACUCCCUCUCCAAACUUUGAUUUCCCUGUGUUUGAAGUUGAGGAAGAGGUUGAUGAUGAAGAAGUAUCUGAUGAAUUAUCUCGUUUACUUGAGCAUGAGGAAAAAGCCAUUCAGUC
rnacentral:lncRNA from 1 species